rnacentral:rRNA from 1 species
AUUGAACGCUGGCGGCAGGCCUAACACAUGCAAGUCGAACGGUAACAGGAAACAGCUUGUUGUUUCGCUGACGAGUGGCGGACGGGUGAGUAAUGUCUGGGAAACUGCCUGAUGGAGGGGGAUAACUACUGGAAACGGUAGCUAAUACCGCAUAACGUCGCAAGACCAAAGAGGGGGACCUUCGGGCCUCUUGCCAUCGGAUGUGCCCAGAUGGGAUUAGCUAGUAGGUGGGGUAACGGCUCACCUAGGCGACGAUCCCUAGCUGGUCUGAGAGGAUGACCAGCCACACUGGAACUGAGACACGGUCCAGACUCCUACGGGAGGCAGCAGUGGGGAAUAUUGCACAAUGGGCGCAAGCCUGAUGCAGCCAUGCCGCGUGUAUGAAGAAGGCCUUCGGGUUGUAAAGUACUUUCAGCGGGGAGGAAGGGAGUAAAGUUAA